UUCUGCUUACAAAAACAUUUUUUUCUGUUUACAAACAACAUUCUUACAUCAGGCAUAUUUUCAGCUUUAAUCUGGUGUUUGUCACAUCCACCACGUAGGCGUGUGCUGCUUGGAUGGAUCAGAUUAAAUAAACUGGUGUAAAGAUGGGGCUCCUCUUCACCUUGGCCUGUCACAGUACCCUGUGGUCAUCAGGUGUCACAGCCUUAAAAAAGGCUUUUGUGUUCCCUGAAAUAAGAAUCUAAUUCACUCUAUUUCUUCUUUAUCACCCACACCAGCUUGCUACCAGUUUUCACAUCGCCAGUAAGAACAGCACAGCCCAGGAGUGGUCAUGUCCCUGAGCAAGUCACUGUGCUGCUGGCGGUAGAGCAGGAGAGUAGAAGGGAAGAUUUGCUGAAGCAAUAUUUUGAAACAUUACUGUGGGAAAACAAUGGAAUUAUCACAAAGUGGAAUUUCACACUCCCAGCAAACUCCCACCAGAGACAACGGACUGACAAAUGGCGUGCAAUGGAAAGCAAGAAUACAAGUUCCGCUCCACAGGCUUCACAACCAGUCCUCCCAUACCUACCUAAAUACAUCUAACCUACUAAACUCUGUGUGACAGCAGUUCAAAGUCAUGUUCUGCAGCAAAAAAAAAAAGUUUAGUGGGUUUUUCUUAAAAAAAUAAAUCUGCAAUAUUCUGACUAA